rnacentral:rRNA from 1 species
GGAUGAGUGGAGCUUGCUCCAUGAUUCAGCGGCGGACGGGUGAGUAAUGCCUAGGAAUCUGCCUGGUAGUGGGGGACAACGUUUCGAAAGGAACGCUAAUACCGCAUACGUCCUACGGGAGAAAGUGGGGGAUCUUCGGACCUCACGCUAUCAGAUGAGCCUAGGUCGGAUUAGCUAGUUGGUGAGGUAAAGGCUCACCAAGGCGACGAUCCGUAACUGGUCUGAGAGGAUGAUCAGUCACACUGGAACUGAGACACGGUCCAGACUCCUACGGGAGGCAGCAGUGGGGAAUAUUGGACAAUGGGCGAAAGCCUGAUCCAGCCAUGCCGCGUGUGUGAAGAAGGUCUUCGGAUUGUAAAGCACUUUAAGUUGGGAGGAAGGGCAGUAAGUUAAUACCUUGCUGUUUUGACGUUACCAACAGAAUAAGCACCGGCUAACUUCGUGCCAGCAGCCGCGGUAAUACGAAGGGUGCAAGCGUUAAUCGGAAUUACUGGGCGUAAGGCGCGCGUAGGCGGUUCGUUAAGUUGGAUGUGAAAGCCCCGGGCUCAACCUGGGAACUGCAUCCAAAACUGGCGAGCUAGAGUAUGGCAGAGGGUGGUGGAAUUUCCUGUGUAGCGGUGAAAUGCGUAGAUAUAGGAAGGAACACCAGUGGCGAAG